CCUAUGAACUGUUAUAUCAAACGAAAGUAGUCACCUUAACAGGGACAAAAUCGGACAGGUGGAAGUUGGAA
rnacentral:ncRNA from 1 species